CCUGAAUCCUGAAAGGUGCUAAGAUCUUGGAGUCCCACUUCCUGGUUCGUCCAACAGACCAAAGGCUGGAGAGUACCUUCAGACCCUCUGGGAUGGCAGGAACCAACACGUCCCCUGACACUGUGUUUGCAGAGUCUCUGUGGAAGCGAGAAAUUACCAUCCAUUGAAAUCAUCAUCCCGGCUUAUUUAUCAUCCUGCCACGUCUUCCCAGCCUUGAGCGCUGGGGACUUCUGUGUAUUUCUGGCAUGCUUCGAGAAGGUUCAGUGUUUUACACAGCUCAUUUUGGGAGGCGCCUCCAAGUCUGAUCUUAAGAUGACCCUGAGCUGGAUCCAGUAAGUCUCAGAACAAUGGAGUCCUAUGUUCAGAACUGGGAGCCAAGAGAAAAGUGCUGGCCAAUACUACAGCAUGGGAAGGACUAGAAUAGUAAAAGCCUUGAAGAACACCAUCAAAACCCAAGACAUUGCUGGACUCAUUGACUCUCAAAAGCCCUUGAAACACCAUUCACUAGCCAAUCAUGUAGGCAGAGUGAACCCACCUCCUGUUUCCUAGUCAGCUCAUUUUCAAUAAAGCUCUUUCUUUCGUCACAGUA